UACAGAGGGUGCGAGCGUUAAUCGGAGUUACUGGGCGUAAAGGGUGCGUAGGCGGCGCUGUAAGUGCUUUGUGAAAUCCCAUGGCUUAACCAUGGAAUUGCUCGGCAGACUGCAGUGCUUGAGGUUGGUAGGGGUCGCUGGAACUCUAGGUGGAGCGGUGAAAUGCGUAGAUAUCAGGAGGAACACCGGUGGCGAAGGCGGAUCUCUGGGCCGUAACUGACGCUGAGGAGCGAAAGCAUGGGGAGCGAACAGG
rnacentral:rRNA from 1 species